UGUGUCCGGCACUUCGUGAGUGCCUGCAGACGGCUCAUUAAAACAGAGACAACCUCCUCUCAGAACUACACGGACAACUAUGCAAAUUGUGUGGCUAAUACGCGGAACGAAUCCACGGAUUGCCCCAAUUAAUCACAGCUCCUAACUUGAUUGUUCAUUGGGUGCUUAGACUUAAAGUCUACUGAGAAUGGGUCUCUGAUCUAUCAGCUGUUGACGGUGGGGUAUUGGCCCACCGUGGCGUUGACGGAUAACGGGGAAUUCGGGUUCGAUUCCGGAGAAAACGCAUGAGACACGGCGUUUACGGCUAAGGCCGGCAGCAGGAGCGAGAACUUUUCGAAUAGGCAUUGCCUGAAAAGGUGACUAACCGUAUCAACAACUGCCAAUGGUGGUUGGUUGAAAUGAGAGACGUUUAGGCCCCGUCUCGAGCAGCAAGUUCAGGGCAAGUCUGGUGCCAGCAGCCGCGGUAAUACCAGCUGAGCUAGAAAUGGGUAACAUUGCUGCAGUAAAAACGUACGUAGUCACUCUCGUUUUGUUUCACGCUCGAAGAGCGCUGAACAUGAACAACCCGCACCAAAUCUUCGGUGCGAACUCCGCGAGUAAAUUAGAAUGAUCAACUCGAAUGUUGAAUAUUUCAGCGCGGGAAAUCUGACGAUGCCUUCGAUUGGAUUGCUGAUCUUAGUCAAAGGGAUACACUGUAAGAAUGAAUGAGGGCACUAGUACUUAGUAGCUAGAGGUGAAAUUCCUAGAUUUACUAAUGACUGACGACUGCGAAAGCAUUUGCCUAAUUCAUUUUUGGUGAUCAAGUACUAAAGAGUGGGGAUCGAAGGGGAUUAGAUACCCUCGUAGUCCACUCCCUAAACGAUGCCGACUAGAGGUUGGUGUAUUGUUACAGAACUUCAUCAGAACCUUAGCAGAUAUGAAAGUCUUUGGGCUCUGGGGGGAGUACGGUCGCAAGGUCGAAACUUAAAGGCAUUGACGGAAUGGCACCACCAGGGGUGGAGCGUGCGGCUUAAUUUGACUCAACGCGGGCGACCUUACCGGGGUAAGACACUGGAAUGAUUGACAGAUUACUUGAUCUUUCUUGAUUUGGUGGGUGGUGGUGCAUGGCCGAUCUUAGUUGGUGGAUUAAUCCGUCUGGUCAAUUCCGAUAACGAACGAGAUCCGAGCUGUUCAGUUGGCUGCUUCUGCUGCGGCAGGCGUACGUCUCCUGAAUGGACUUUCACCGUCAAGGUGAAGGAAGUUUCGGGCUAAAUCAGGUCUGUGAUGCCCUUAGACACUCCGGGCUGCACGCGCGCUACAAUGGGUGGAAGACUGUGUUACUGCUCUCGAAAGGGAGGGUGAAUCACGAAUUCCAACCCGCGAAUGGGAUAGUUCGUUGCAAUUUUCGGACUUGAACUAGGAAUCCCUUGUAAGCAUGCUCGAGUAUAGUAUGCUGAAUACGUCCCUGCCGUUUGUACACACCGCCCGUCGUUUCUUCCGACUGGUACGGAUUGUGAGUUGCAAGGAUCCUUCAUUGGAAAAUUGCCGCGAAUGCUUCGUACUGGAGGAAGAAAAAGUCAUAACAAGGUUGUC
rnacentral:rRNA from 1 species